GUAGUACUCCUUCCAUCCGAAAAUACUUGUCAUCAAAAUGGAUAAAAAGAUAUGUAUCUAGAACUAAAAUAUGACUAGAUACAUCCCCUUUUAUCCAUUUUGAUGACAAGUAUUUCUGGAUGGAGGGAGUACAAC
rfam:Triticum aestivum genome assembly, contig: Triticum_aestivum_CS42_TGACv1_scaffold_520608_6BS